UUUCUCUUCCUCACUCUUCUCUGAAAAUCCUAUUCGUCUUCCCUUAUUCAAUCCAGCCUCCAUCUUUCUAUACACGCUAAUCCUUACCCCCUCCAUUUUUCAUAUAAAAACCCUAAAAUUAAUGGUUGAAUGGUUGCUCUUCAUUCUAUUUUCAUAUUCCAAGUGUUGCUUCUGACCUAAUUUCUUAUUCUAAUCAAGAUUUGUUUGUGUCCUUAAUGAAGUCGCAAAUCGAAUGGGUACAACCAUCUCUUUCUCUGCAUCCGGUGUAUGAAUCAAUUCUGUUAGAGAGCCUACCUUCUAUGGUUACACAACAAGAACUUCCGGCUUGCAAGCCAAUUCUUACCCCGAAAUGGGUGAUUUCGGCACUCAUGCUUGUGACAGUUGUCUUCAUACCUAUAGGAGUAGCUUCCCUUCUUGCUUCUCGUGAUGUAGUUGAAAUUAUUGACCGGUACGAUAAUGCCUGCCUACAAGGCACAAAAAGUCAAAAGGUUCAAUCUAUACAAGACCCAACAACAAGCAAAACCUGCAUUAGAAGAUUGACAGUCACAAAGAGAAUGAAGCAACCUAUUUAUGUCUGCUAUCAGCUUGACAAUUACUAUCAGAAUCAUCGCAGGUAUGUCAAGAGCCGACGUGAUCAGCAAUUGAGAAACCGUGGCGAUGAGAAUGAAACGAGUACGUGUAAGCCUGAACAUGAAGCAAAUGGGGUCUAUUCAACUGAUAACAACCUUCUGUGGUUGCUGGGUUCUAUUCAACUGAUAACAACUUGCAGCUGGAUGCAACUACUCAAUUUCAUAAAUUGCUCUCAAUUGAACGGAGUCCUCCAAUCGAGGAAGUCAUACAAUCUGGUGUCGUACCUCGCUUUCUCGAGUUCUUGAUGAGAGAAGAUUUCCCACAGCUCUAGUUUGAAGCUGCUUGGGCACUCACAAACAUUACUUCUGGUACCUCUGAGAACACAAAGGUUGUUAUCGAUCACGGGGCGGUCCCUAUUUUCGUUAAGCUGUUAUUUGGUCUUAAAAAUAACGGCCUUCGUUCGGAAUGCCACUCAUAUAUGAUGAAAGAGAAACAACCCUUUCUUUUUGGUCCGGAGCAAGAAUAAGGGGUGCCAAGGUUAAUUUCACAUUUGACGAGUCAUCUCUUAAAGCAGUAUCCGUAUACCACUUUGCGAUUAGAGGCUGUUGAAGGGAGAUGAUGGCAUACAAGAGCCUGUCGAUCAGAUCAGUUUGAAUAGUCAACAUGAACCUGAUGGCUGAAGCGGCUAUUGAUAAACAAAAGCCAAGAGUACAAACAAUAGAUGCUUUGGUUGACAAGUCAACUCUGGGUGGGACGGCUGACAUCGCUCCGACGUUGAGACAUGGCCUCCAUUCAUGGCGAUUUUUAUUGUUUCGUCUAGCAAUGUAUGUUUCCUUUGAUCUUUGGUCUUCGCUUUGUUUUUUCAUUGCAACAGUAAUUUUAUGUGAUCGUGAUUUUGAUUUUGUUUUCUAAAUGAAAACCGUUUCGCUAAAAAGGGUUACAAGUAAGAUCAUCCUAACUCCUAAGUAUAUGAUUAAUGUAUGCAAUUAUGCCCACUUACAGUACCUAUUUACUUUGGGUUAUGAUUAGUUAAAAUUUCCAUAGUGCACAAUUACAUUUAUUCCCAUCAUUCUUCUGCAAUAUAUCACAGUUCAUGUUAAAAGAGAACUUAUCUUUUAAUUUACACAUCGUAGCUCACUGUACUUCAUGUACGCCUACUAACUUUGUUGAAUGUUUGGCUAGGAUCGAAAGUAAUGUUUACAAAAAAAAAAAAGUUGAAAUUUGGAUUGGUUUCAGCUAUUGGCACUAUUAUGGGUUGAAGUGGAAUUUGGUUCAAGUAAUUCUGAAUAGAGUGUGUGUAUAUAUAGAUGUAUAUGUACAAACAUUUUUUGUAUAAAAAAUUAAAUGAAAAAAUAGGCCCUAAAAACUAUAAUCUCAACAUGAUUUGUAUACUUGGCAGGGAAUUUGGUUGUAUCAAGUACACUGCAUGUUUAUUUUUACGAUUUCAGGUUCAAUCCUAACAUUGGUUUGAGGCUUAAACUUUUUUACAAUCAUAUUUCACUAUGCCAACGAAUGAGUUAGUUGACGUAAUAGCACCAUCCAACUAUAGCUGGAUUUGGGUAGUGUAGGUGGUAGUGCAUCGGUUACGACGACUACGGUUAUUUGUUAACUUGAAAAUCAAGUUGCGACAGCAACACAUUACGGAAGAAACAAGAGAUAAUUGCCAUCAAAGAUUCAAGGGGUAGUUAUUAACAUGGUCGUUGUUGCAUGUUAGCCACCAACCAGACACAAGCAGACCCCAUAUGACCUUUUAGUUAUGGUUCAAUUGAUGGUAACCCGGUACUCAUUGUUUGUUGGCCUUGCUGGCUACAGAGUGUGCUCGAGCCGAGUUAUGUGAAAAAAAAAGAGCUAGGAAUGCUAUGUUGUUUUUCCACAAUAUACUACUUGAAAGAGUACAAACAAUACAAGUUGGAUGGGUUGGCUAACGUGUCAACUGUCAACACGAGUUCAGGUACCCAUGAAGAGGAUUCUUUUCCCUACAAUGGGCUACUGUGUUGAGGCUAAUACUGCACAACCUCCACCACUUCCCCCUCUUAAAGAAAACUUAUUUUGGUGGUUUGAAAGAUGAAGACCACAUACCACAUAUUUACGAACCUUUAUGGUAUACAUGACACAUUUCUCAAAGGGGCCAUGAAGCGUGGUGAUUUGUAUAGAACUAAAGAUUUAGUGAUCAAGGGUUCCGAUUGGAUUUCUUGCUAUAUAAGUGAUAGAACUAAGAUGCAUAUCAUUAUAAAAAGUCAUUUGCGGAGCACA